UUUAUGGAGAGUUUGAUCCUGGCUCAGGACGAACGCUGGCGGCGUGCCUAAUACAAGCAAGUCGAGCGAACCGAUAGAAAGCUUGCUUUCUUGAGGUUAGCGGCGGACGGGUGAGUAACACGUGGGCAACCUG
rnacentral:rRNA from 1 species